rnacentral:rRNA from 1 species
UACGUAGGGUGCAAGCGUUGUCCGGAAUUACUGGGCGUAAAGAGCUCGUAGGCGGUUUGUCGCGUCGGCUGUGAAAACUCGAGGCUCAACCUCGAGCUUGCAGGCGAUACGGGCAGACUUGAGUACUGCAGGGGAGACUGGAAUUCCUGGUGUAGCGGUGAAAUGCGCAGAUAUCAGGAGGAACACCGGUGGCGAAGGCGGGUCUCUGGGCAGUAACUGACGCUGAGGAGCGAAAGCGUGGGUAGCGAACAGG